GACGAACGCUGGCGGCGUGCUUAACACAUGCAAGUCGAACGGGAAGGUCCUGCUGUUGUGGGUUGCUCGAGUGGCGAACGGGUUAGUAACAAGUGAGUAACCUGUCCUUGACUUUGGGAUAACUUCAGGAAACUGGGGCUAAUACCGGAAAUGAGCUCCUGCUGCAUGGUGGGGGUUGGAAAGUGUCGGCGGUUGGGGAUGGACUCGCGGCUUAUCAGAUUGUUGGUGGGGUAGUGGCUUACCAAGGUUUUGACGGGUAGCCGGGCUGAGAGGGUGAGCGGCCACAUUGGGACUGAGAUACGGCCCAGACUCCUCCGCGAGGCAGCAGUGGGGAAUAUUGCACAAUGGGCGGAAGCCUGAUGCAGCAACGCCGCGUGCGGGAUGACGGGCUUCGGGUUGUAAACCGCUUUCGCAUGUGACGAAGAGUGAGUGACGGUAAUGGGUAAAGAAGCACCGGCUAACUACGUG
rnacentral:rRNA from 1 species